rnacentral:rRNA from 1 species
UACGGGGGGGGCAAGCGUUGUUCGGAAUUACUGGGCGUAAAGGGCUCGUAGGUGGCCAACUAAGUCAGACGUGAAAUCCCUGGGCUCAACCCAGGAACUGCGUCCGAUACUGGUUGGCUUGAAUCCGGGAGAGGGAUGCGGAAUUCCAGGUGUAGCGGUGAAAUGCGUAGAUAUCUGGAGGAACACCGGUGGCGAAGGCGGCAUCCUGGACCGGCAUUGACGCUGAGGCGCGAAAGCCAGGGGAGCAAACGGG